rnacentral:lncRNA from 1 species
CUCCUCUCGCUGCGGUUAACUAUACCCAAGGCUCUUUGGAAUAAAGGGCUCAUUCUGUUAAGGGGGUCUUGGAGCCAGGUUAGGAACUGCCUUAUGAAUCUUUGAAAGGUGUUGGGUUGUCGCGGUGAGGGGCUACAGGGUGGGAGUGCCGUGAGCACGUGUGUGUCUGUGCACGUGCAGGGCUGCAAAUGCAGACAGGCAGCUGGGGAAAAUGCAGGAACAACGAGAUCCAGAUGACCAGGGAGGAAGGAGGUUGGUGGAGGAAUCAGGAGGGGGAGGUCCUGCUGGCCGUUGUGGUUUGUGGCACCUGUGUCCUCUGGCUGGGCGUCGACUGUCAGUUCUCCCCUGGGCUCUGUCUUGGGCCCCUACUCUUCUGCCCUCGUACCUCUGCUUAUGCCAUCGCAUCCUCCCCGAGUCUUUGAUGAUUUGUCCCUCUCUGAUGGCCGCAGUACCACAGCUCCAGCCCACAUCUUCCACGUUUCAGGACUUUUCCAGGACAUUGCAGGCAAACGGAGCGACAUGUAGAACAGCAGAAGCAAGGAACUGCAGAACUCGUUAAUUCAAAUGCAACAUGGCGAGGUUCCAUAGCAGCCCACGUGGACGUUGUGAGGGUAAAAAAGGAGGAAAUGCAUUUUACAUACAUAAGGUACUACUAACAAGAAUAUGCGUUUAAAGUUCCUAGAUGCAUGCCCCAACAAUAACUGUGGUAUCUGCAUGGAUUUCAUUAGGGCUUUUCCUGCGAAGAGUGUAAAACUCUUAAAUAUAUCAUAAAAUAUUAUUGGCAGUGGUGUUAGGAGAGGAAAUUAGUCACCAAACAAAACAGACAAGAAAACCGUGAAACCUGACAAGGACAGUGUGUUGGAGUUAGGGGAUAUCCAACGGAGGGUGAGAUCAGCCUCACCCAAAGAAAGGUGAGAAUUUGCCUGACAGAUGGGAAUCCAAAGAGCGGGAGGAGAGGGAGCUCAUUCAGGUAGAUGGAACGACAUGUAUAACCAUGCGGGGGCAUGAAACGGGCCACAUUCUCUUUGAUCGGUAAUUAUGCCUAUACAUAGAAAAUUGCAUAGACCAUUCAAACAAGUUUGAGGUCUUGGUUUUCUCUCUCAGAGGGUUUAUAACGUAACUGAAUAGGUCAGGUGCAAGUAUGGGAAGAAGAUAUUGACAAUAUGUGAUGGAAGCCUGAUAACAUAAAUUUUGUCGGAUGAAUGAAUGAUGACAGGAUGUGCUGAAUGCCAAAUGGCUGAUGCCAACUGUGAGAUCUUCAAGGGGCACAGGGCAGGGGAUAUUCAUUUUUGGAUGGGUGCUAUGACCUGACUUCUUUUACCACUGUCAUCCUGCUGCCGGGUGGAAAAUAAAAUAUAAAAGGGAGGCA